ACGAACGCUGGCGGUAUGCUUAACACAUGCAAGUCGAACGAACGAGCCUAGCUUGCUAGGUGAGUUAGUGGCAAACGGGUGAGUAACGCGUGGGAAUCUACCCAGUAGUACGGAAUAACAGUUGGAAACGACUGCUAAUACCGUAUAGUAUCGAGAGAUUAAAGAUUUAUCGCUACUGGAUGAGCCCGCGUCAGAUUAGGUAGUUGGUGGGGUAAUGGCCUACCAAGCCGAAGAUCUGUAGCUGGUCUGAGAGGAUGACCAGCCACACUGGAACUGAGACACGGUCCAGACUCCUACGGGAGGCAGCAGUGAGGAAUAUUGGACAAUGGGCGAAAGCCUGAUCCAGCAAUACCGCGUGAGUGAAGAAGGCCUUCGGGUUGUAAAGCUCUUUCAGCAGGGAAAUAAUGAUGGUACCUGCAAAGAAGUUCCGGCUAACUCCGUGCCAGCCGCCGCGGUAAUU
rnacentral:rRNA from 1 species